GGCAAGGACUCCUGCCAGGGUGACUCUGGUGGUCCCAUGGUCACUGCUGGGACAGUAGCCAGAGGUUCAUGGUACAGAUCGGUGUAGUGUCUUGGGGCUACGGUUGUGCUGAUGCCGAUUACCCAGGAGUCUACGCCAGGUCACAAACUACCUGACCUGGAUUGAGGCCAAGAUUGCUGGGUCGACCACCUGCCUACCACCUGCUGCCAGAGAAUAGGCGUCAAUUUCACCUCCUUUGGGGCCAACAUAGACUGGGGUGAACUCCACCCUCCCUGACUUUAGCACUUUAUUAACCCUUAGUCAUUGAAGUAACACCAUUAUAUGUUUCUGUUGCUCGUUUUCGCCAUGCAGAACUAUAACAUGUAGUUAAUAACUUCCUUUAAAAUAAAUAAAGAUGAAGUGCA